CUUCAUAAUUUAUUAUUAUUAUUAUUAUUAUUAUUAUUUAGAUUGUUUAAACCACACAGAUUUGUGUUUAUUUAUUCAGAUGCCACAUGAUAACAUUAGAGAAAUCAGUGGAUUCUUCCAGAACCUAAGUCUGGAAGAAGAAGAAAUGGAAGUGGAAGAAAAUGAUGGAUGUGGAUAUGCUGGAUGAAGUAAUCACGGCCUAUAAUUUGCAUGGGCAGGAAUUUCACGGGGGUCAUUUUGCGAUUUUGUAGUCUGCCACGUGACUUUAGCAGGCCUCGCCCAUUUCCGGCUGCGUCGAGAAGACGAACUUGACGGAGGUCUAUUCCAUAGAUUCAACAUAUCUGGAAGAGUCUAUCCAUAAAUGAAAUAUGGGACAAUUCAAUCAAAACAUGGUGUCUGAUGACAUUCGUGAGCUGGUUGGAAUGUUCCAGAGACUAAGUCUGGAGGAGCAAGAAGAAAGAAUGGACAUUGAUGAGAAUCCACAUAAUGGCAUUAGAGAGAUCAGUGGAUCCGUCGAGAACCUAACUCUGGAGGAAGAAGAAGAAAUGGAGGUGGAUGAGGAUACAGAGGAGAUGGAUGUGGAUAUGCAGGAUUAGGACGAGCUGGACACAGUGGUGCAAAUGUGGGACAACCAUCGCAUUCGUCCGGGGAGGAAUGGGUGUGAUCUCUACCAGGGCAAGCCAGUGAUGAUGUACAACAGGGGUCACCAAACUUUUUUCUCUGGGGGCCACAUUGUCGUUCCUGACUGUGAUGGGGGGCCGGGGUCGGGUCAGCUAUAUAACAUAGAAUUGUAUGACCCAGACAAAUAUGACCACCAGCAGGCCUCAUUGUGUAGUAGAGAUUACUAGCCUGGCACAGCCAUCCCCACUACUCCAUCAGCAUUACUCCAUCAGCAUUACUCCAUCAGCAUUACUCCAUCAGCAUUACUCCAUCAGCAUUACUCUAUCAGCACUACUCUAUCAGCACUACUGCGUUUUCUUCCCCCCCCCAAUCUGUCCCUCUGAGUUACAUGUUGAUCCUGGGAUUGAGAUGCUGGCCUCUUCUGCCCCUCGGACCUGCUUGAUCCAUCCUGGUGCCCUGUGUCUGGUCGGAGUUUUAUCGCACCGCUCCUGUGAAGGACGGCCCCAUGAGGACAGUUGAGGGUUAUACCUGUUAAAACUGUUAAUAUUAUAGUCAGGCUGUCUGUUGU